CCUGGCUUCUCACUUUGGCCACCUUUCAAAACCACAAGUACAUCCAAGGGCAGCCAAGACAACAACAAAGCCAAGAGAUACAGUCUCCAAAUGAGGAGAGACCAACUCUCCCUUCCAGGCUUGCCUUCUGCCUGGCUCCUGGUGGCCAAGACUCCAUUUCCCCAAGAGGAAUUCUCCUGGGUUGGCAGCAGAUCCACUGAUGGAAAAGGGCAAACGUGUUUCAGAGACUCUAGGGGCACAUGAGCCAUUUUAUUAGUUCAGAUGACCGAAGCUGAUGGAAAAGCAUGACUAACAAAAAGGACUCUUGAGGAAGUACUCAAGGUUUCGAGGAUGCAGGGCCUCCUCCAUGGUGGGUACUGUGACUGGAGUUGGGGACAGUGUCAACAACAGUACUCACGAGGUUACUACUCUGUGGUGGAAGCAGACAGCAAGUCCCGGCCACACAAGCUGACUCUAGAAACCUAGGGCAAAUCCAAGGGAAGGAAGUACAUGGUAUGUAGUUGGGAUCUAGGUUCAAGGUGUGGCGGCAUCAUGACUGAGAAGUGGGGACUGCAGCUUCUCAGAAGGAAAGCCCUACAGCAACAAUGACAGUAUGGGAGAGAGAUCAGUGAUCAUGCUUCUGGGGGAGACAAUCCAUCCGUUCGCAGGCUGCCGGAGCUGAGUGGGGACAAUGGCCUCCUCCACACCUCUAAGCUAAAU